GGUUGAUCCUGCCAGUAGUCAUAUGCUUGUUUCAAAGAUUAAGCCAUGCAUGUUUAAGUAUAAGCUUUUAUACGGCGAAACUGCGAAUAGCUCAGUAAAACAGUUAUAAUUUUUUUGAUGGUCUAUUUCCAUACGGAUACCCAUGGUAAUUCUGGAGCUAAUACGUGCAUAAACACCCGACUUCUUGAAGGGUGGUAUUUAUUAGAGCAAGAACCAAUCCGUCUAACGGCGGCUUCGGUGAGUCAUAAUAAAUGAGCGGAUCGCUUCACGGCGAUAGUUCAUUCAAGUUU
rnacentral:rRNA from 1 species